AUCUUUGGUUGAUGAGUUUAUUUAACGUGCCUUUACCUUACAUAAGACCUCACAUAAGAGAAAGAACUGUAGUACCUCGUUCCAGAUUGUUCUGAUUUAUAGAUCCUAAACCAGUUAUUCAAAUUGCUGAUGAUGAGGAUGAUAAAGAGCCAUACAUAGGAGAUUAGUUGCACCACUCAUAAUCUUCAUAGCAGCAGCCUAUAC
rnacentral:lncRNA from 1 species